UACGUAGGGGGCAAGCGUUGUCCGGAAUUAUUGGGCGUAAAGAGCUCGUAGGCGGCCCAUCAAGUCGGAUGUGAAAUCUCAAGGCUCAACCUUGAAAUUGCAUCCGAUACUGGCGGGCUUGAGGCAGGUAGGGGAAGGUGGAAUUCCUGGUGUAGCGGUGAAAUGCGCAGAUAUCAGGAGGAACACCGGUGGCGAAGGCGGCCUUCUGGGCCUGUUCUGACGCUGAGGAGCGAAAGCGUGGGGAGCAAACAGGAUUAGAAACCCCCGUAGUCC
rnacentral:rRNA from 1 species